GUUGGUAUUAUUUUUCUAUUUCAGGAAAACCAAAUCUAGAUUUCCAGACAUGACCCUACUUGCUCAGGCUGUACAAAGCCUUAUUCAAGAGAAGUUACCAGAUCUGAUCCUUGUGUUAAUUCUCAAGCUUGAUUUGACAGAGUGGAACAAGUUUAUGAAGAGCCUUAAUUCUGCAGUCUGCAGUCUCCCCGUGGCCAUGUUCAGAGAGCUCCUGGGGAAAUCCAGAACUGUUCCCACUCCACCUUCCCUGUACCAGCAGCGAUGUUGUGCCUGUGCUGCCUGUUCCUUCUGAUCUGUAGUGCCACAGAAUAAGGAGAUGACUCAACGAAAACUCCCCAUUCAUUCAUUCCCGGGGUUGAAUAAACAGCACCAAAUUCCAAGCAGACACUAAUCAGCUUAUGAAACUCCUAUUUUUUUUUUUUUUUUUUUUUUUUU